GACGAACGCUGGCGGCGUGCUUAACACAUGCAAGUCGAGCGGUAAGGCCCUUCGGGUACACGAGCGGCGAACGGGUGAGUAACACGUGGGUGACCUGCCCUUAGCUCUGGGAUAAGCCUGGGAAACUGGGUCUAAUACCGGAUAUGACCUCAUGACGCAUGUUGUGGGGUGGAAAGCCUUGUGCGGCUAGGGAUGGGCCCGCGGCCUAUCAGCUUGUUGGUGGGGUGAUGGCCACCAAGGCGACGACGGGUAGCCGGCCUGAGAGGGCGACCGGCCACACUGGGACUGAGACACGGCCCAGACUCCUACGGGAGGCAGCAGUGGGGAAUCUUGCGCAAUGGGCGAAAGCCUGACGCAGCGACGCCGCGUGAGGGAUGACGGCCUGGUGUAAC
rnacentral:rRNA from 1 species